CGAGCGUGAAGUCCUUCGGGAUGAGUAAGCGGCGGACGGGUGAGUAACGCGUGAGAAUUUACCUUUUAGUGGAGAAUACCUUUGAGAAAUCAAAGUUAAUACUGCAUACGUCUCGAAAGAGAGAAAGAUGGCCUAAUUGCUGUCGCUAGAAGAUAAGCUUGCGUUCUAUUAGUUAGUUGGUGAGGUAAUGGCUCACCAAGACGAUGAUGGAUAGCCGGCCUGAGAGGGCGAACGGCCACAUUGGAACUUAGACACGGUCCAAACUCCUACGGGAGGCAGCAGUGAGGAAUAUUGCACAAUGGGCGAAAGCCUGAUGCAGCGACGCCGCGUGGAGGAUGAAGGUUUUCGGAUUGUAAACUCCUGUUAAGUGUGAAAAAAGAACAGUCUUUAAUAGAGAUUGUGGAUGAUUGUAGCACUAAAGAAAGCACCGGCUAACUUCGUGCCAGCAGCCGCGGUAAUACGAGGGGUGCAAACGUUAUUCGGAAUCACUGGGCGUAAAGGGUGUGUAGACGGCAAAGUAAGUCAAUUAUUAAAUCUCCUAGCUUAACUAGGAAUCUGUGAUUGAAACUGUUUUGCUUGAGGAUGGAAGAGAGAAGUGGAAUUCUCGGAGUAGCGGUAAAAUGCGUAGAUCUCGAGAGGAACACCGAUGGCGAAGGCAGCUUCUUGGUCCAUUUCUGACGUUGAGGCACGAAAGCGUGGGGAGCAAACAGGAUUAGAUACCCUGGUAGUCCACGCUNGUAACGAUGAUCA
rnacentral:rRNA from 1 species